GCCAGCGUUUAUCUCUGGGUUUGUGGGCAAAAUUACUUGAAAAGUCAUUUACUGAUCAUAAUUAAAUUUUCAGGAAAUAGUGAACUUUAUGAAGAUUUUCAUGAUGUUCCAGACCUUGACAUUUGAUCUUUUAAAGGUCAAGAGCUCAUGCCUCUGUACAGCUAUGCUACUGGUGCAAGUCACAAUAUGGAAGGAAAUAAGCUGCUUGGAGGUCUGUGCUCAGUUCCUAUUUAAAUCUGCGACAGAUUCAACAACUUCACUUCAUCUCACUGAAGCAAGGAUGAGACAGGAGUCUCGAGAAUUAACGAGUGUGUGCUUUUUAGAAAAACCAGGUUUAAGUGACACAAACAGGCCAAACGCAGUUUGGGCAGCCGUCCAACAAAACAAUUAG
rnacentral:lncRNA from 1 species